GGCCCCCAUGGGCUGCCGGGAGGACUUGGGCUUUGGCCCCAGGGAGGUGGGAGCCCUAGAAGGCUCUGUGUGGCAGGGACGCACUGCUUGCUCUCGAGUCCCUGCUGCAGGAGGUGGAUGGUCCAGGAGCCAGACCUGAUGGUGAGGCAGAGCCAAAGGCAGUGACCAGCAGGGAGAGGGAGGAGGCUCCUGAGAGCAAACAGCCACAUCUCCGAGAGCACUGUGUCCUGGGGUUCAUGUGUGACCACCCUGAAGACCAAGUUGGCCUGCAAGUGCCAGAAAAGGCACAGAAGAGGAGCCCCCAGGGUCUCUCCAAGUCACUCAGUCUUGCUGGGCUCAUCCGUGCGACCCUCCUGCAUCAGCCUCCCAGACGGCUAUGUGAUUCAGGCCGAUGUAGAUCCUGCUCUGUGCCUACGUUUCCACUGUCCUCAAAGGAGACCCCAAUGGCACCAAGUGGAAAAGGACUGAAGGCAAAGUCACUGUUCUGCGGACAAGGGACAGAGAUGGAAGUCGCGCAGGGAGAGAGGAAGGAAGGAGAAACAGGCCCCCCCCCAAAAAGGGACCCGGUGUGAUGGUGCACGCCGUCAUCUCAGUACUCGGGAGGCUGAGGCAGGAGGAUCACCACAAGUUUGAGGCCAGCCUGGGCUCCACAGUGAGUUCAAGGCCAG
rnacentral:lncRNA from 1 species